AAAGUCUGAUUAAGAGGAUAAAGGCGCAGUACCCUCAAGAUCCAGCGGGCUUUGCUCUCAAGUUGGUUGGAGAAUUGUAUUCUCGGGAGUUUUUGGAGCUCCAUAAAAAAACCAAUACGAAUGCGAAGAUUGGGUUCGAUUUGAAAAUCCCAAUUAGGGUAAAGGAGCUAUCCUACAUUCGAAAUACCAUAACUGAGAUGUAUGUGGCUCUAGAUUCGAAGACGAAAUCAGCGGCCGAGAUGAAAAUCAGCCAAAAAUUCAACAUUAAAUCGAAGGACAUCGUUGCUUGGCUGAAAAAAUUCAACGAAUUGCAAAAAAUAGAUCGUGAAGUCGAUAAAACCAAUUGAUUUUUUAUUACGAAUGUUUUGUCGUUUAUGUUUGAUCAAGAAAUAUACUUUAAAAUUAUGUCAA